GACGAACGCUGGCGGCGUGCUUAACACAUGCAAGUCGAACGGAAAGGCCCUGCUUUUGUGGGGUGCUCGAGUGGCGAACGGGUGAGUAACACGUGAGUAACCUGCCCUUGACUUUGGGAUAACUUCAGGAAACUGGGGCUAAUACCGGAUAGGAGCUCCUGCUGCAUGGUGGGGGUGGGAAAGUUUCGGCGGUUGGGGAUGGACUCGCGGCUUAUCAGCUUGUUGGUGGGGUAGUGGCUUACCAAGGCUUUGACGGGUAGCCGGCCUGAGAGGGUGACCGGCCACAUUGGGACUGAGCUACGGCCCAGCCUCCUACGGGAGGCAGCAGUGGGGAAUAUUGCACAAUGGGCGGAAGCCUGAUGCAGCAACGCCGCGUGCGGGAUGACGGCCUUCGGGUUGUAAUCCGCUUUCGCCUGUGACGAAGCGUGAGUGACGGUAAUGGGUAAAGAAGCACCGGCUAACUACGUG
rnacentral:rRNA from 1 species